ACGAACGCUGGCGGCGUGCUUCACACAUGCAAGUCGAGCGGUAAGGCCUUUCGGGGUCCACGAGCGGCGAACGGGUGAGUAACACGUGGGUGAUCUGCCCUGCACUUCGGGAUAAGCCUGGGAAACUGGGUCUAAUACCGGAUAUGACCUCCUAUCGCAUGGUGGGUGGUGGAAAGAUUUAUCGGUGCAGGAUGGGCCCGCGGCCUAUCAGCUUGUUGGUGGGGUAAUGGCCUACCAAGGCGACGACGGGUAGCCGACCUGAGAGGGUGACCGGCCACACUGGGACUGAGACACGGCCCAGACUCCUACGGGAGGCAGCAGUGGGGAAUAUUGCACAAUGGGCGAAAGCCUGAUGCAGCGACGCCGCGUGAGGGAUGACGGCCUUCGGGUUGUAAACCUCUUUCAGCAGGGACGAAGCGCAAGUGACGGUACCUGCAGAAGAAGCACCGGCUAACUACGUG
rnacentral:rRNA from 1 species